UACGGGGGGAGCAAGCGUUGUUCGGAUUUACUGGGCGUAAAGGGCGCGUAGGCGGCCAGCGCAAGUCAGUUGUGAAAUCUCCGGGCUUAACUCGGAAAGGUCAACUGAUACUGCGCGGCUAGAGUGCAGAAGGGGCAACUGGAAUUCUCGGUGUAGCGGUGAAAUGCGUAGAUAUCGAGAGGAACACCUGCGGCGAAGGCGGGUUGCUGGGCUGACACUGACGCUAAUGCACGAAAGCGUGGGGAGCAAACAGG
rnacentral:rRNA from 1 species